rnacentral:lncRNA from 1 species
UGAAUGUUUGGCCAAUAGGGGAAGAUUGACAUCUUACGGAUAUUGUUUUCUGAAUCAGGAAAAAAAAAAUCUCCAUUAUUUAAGCCAUUUUUAAAUAUCUCUCUUUAAGGUUUUUGCAUAAAAAUUUUAUACACUUUUUGUAGAAACCUUUGCUACUAUAAUUGUAGCCAUUGCAAUCAUAAUAAAAUAGGUACACAGCACAUACAUUGGGUUAGGCAGAGUCUUAAAAAGCUUCACUCACAUUGACUUAUGCCAUCUCUUAACAAUCCUUUGAAGUAGGUAUUAUUAUCACUACUCCCCUUUAACAGAUGUGAAAACUAGACCCAGAGUCACACUCAGAGUCACACUGUUGACCUCAAACUUGAAGAUCCUCCAGCCUCAGCCUCUCAAGUAGCUGGGGUGAUAAGCAUCAGUGUGGAAUUUAAGUCAGGUGUCCCAGCUGAGGUUUGUGCUCUUCAACAUUUCCUUUCUUUGUUCUUUGAUCAAUCACAUUUGUAGCCUCUCCUGGAUAAUGCCUAAAUAUGAAUUUGAUGACUGUGUGAUACUCAUAUCCAGAAACCUGGCUGAACUCUUCUGUUUAUUACAAUUACUUACCUAUGGAUUUUCUGUGGUUUUCUCUGUCAAUUUUACCAACUGUGAACCGUGACCAUUUUUCUUCUCCAUUUCCAAACCGUGUAUUCUUCACUCUUUAUUUUAUGGUGCUCAUCAACCCUCUGGAACUGUUUUUACAAAUGGUGAUGGUGAGACACUUUGCCUUGCUCAUGAACUUAACGGGAAGACUUCUAAUAUUGCACAAACAUUUCUCACGAGGAUUUGUAAACACCCUUAUUCAGAUCUAGGAAAUUCUAUUCUAUUCUAGAUUUUUCAAGAAUUUUUCUUUUUUUUUUAAUCAGGUAUGGAGUUUUGUUGAAGACUUCUCAAUACAGAGAAUUCCGCGCUUAUUUUGUUCACUUGUGUUAUUGUCUCUUUCCGAUGCCUCACCACAUUUGUGUUACUGAGAUAAAGUUGACCACUGUGUGCUAAUUAUUUUUAUACAUUAUAAGGCCUGAUUUGCACAUUUUGUUUAGGGUUUUUGCAUGUUUAUUUAUGAAGUUAGCCUGUGUUUUCUUGUCUGGUUAUGGCAUCAGGUUAAAAUGUCCUCUUUUUAUAUUCUCUACAAGAUUUUGUAUGUGGUUGGAAUAACAUGUCCCUUAUAUUUUGUAAAGUCCUCUGUGUCUCAUAUAUUGUGUCAAGUUCUUUCAUGAUCACGUGUCUGGUUAAGUUUAUUUUAAUUUAAAAAAUUCUGCUUUAAUAAGUUUUGGUAAGUUCUAUUUUUUCUAUAAUAUUGGAUAUUUUAUGUAAGUUUUAAAAUUUGUUUAAAUUUAUAGCAGUUUCUCAUUUAAAGUUUUCUUUUUGUGGUACAUAUGCUGUCUUAAUAGUUUUAUAUAGCUUACUUAUGCUUUCAUGUAUUUUUUUGGCCAAUAUUGUCAAAUAUUGUCCUAUUAUACUAG